rnacentral:rRNA from 1 species
UCGAACGGGCUCUUCGGAGCUAGUGGCGGACGGGUGAGUAACGCGUGAGGAUCUGCCUUCAGGAGGGGGAUAACGACUGGAAACGGUCGCUAAUACCGCAUAUGCCUACGGGUGAAAGANUAUCGCCUGGAGAUGAACUCGCGUCAGAUUAGCUAGUUGGCGGGGUAAGAGCCUACCAAGGCGACGAUCUGUAGCUGGUCUGAGAGGAUGAUCAGCCACACUGGGACUGAGACACGGCCCAGACUCCUACGGGAGGCAGCAGUGGGGAAUUUUCCGCAAUGGGCGCAAGCCUGACGGAGCAAGACCGCGUGCGGGAUGACGGCCUAAUGGUUGUAAACCGCUUUUCUCUGGGAAGAUGAUGACGGUACCAGAGGAAUCAGCCUCGGCUAACUCCGUGCCAGCAGCCGCGGCAAUACGGAGGAGGCAAGCGUUAUCCGGAAUUAUUGGGCGUAAAGCGUCCGUAGGUGGUUAUUCAAGUCUGCUGUCAAAGCGUGGGGCUUAACUCCAUAGAGGCAGUGGAAACUGGAUGACUUGAGUGCGGUAGGGGUCGAGGGAAUUCCCAGUGUAGCGGUGACAUGCGUAGAUAUUGGGAAGAACACCAGUGGCGAAAGCGCUCGACUGGGCCUGCACUGACACUGAGGGACGAAAGCUAGGGGAGCGAACGGGAUUAGAUACCCCUGUAGUCCUAGCCGUAAACGAUGGAUACUAGGUGUUGCUCGUCAUCGACCCGAGCAGUGCCGUAGCCAACGCGUUAAGUAUCCCGCCUGGGGAGUACGCUCGCAAGAGUGAAAUUCAAAGGAAUUGACGGGGGCCCGCACAACCGGUGGAGUAUGUGGUUUAAUUCGAUGCAACGCGAAGAACCUUACCAGGGCUUGACAUGUCCGGGAACCUUGCCGACAGGUAAGGGUGCCUACGGGAACCGGAGCACAGGUGGUGCAUGGCUGUCGUCAGCUCGUGUCGUGAGAUGUUGGUUAAAGUCCCGCAACGAGCGCA